GACGAACCGUGCGAACGUUGUUCGGAUUCACUGGGCUUAAAGGGCGCGUAGGCGGUUGGAUAAGUCAGCUGUGAAAACCACGGGCUUAACUCGUGGCCUGCAGUUGAGACUGUCUGGCUUGAGUGUGGGAGAGGAGAGUGGAAUUCCUGGUGUAGCGGUGAAAUGCGCAGAUAUCAGGAAGAACACCCGUGGCGAAGGCGGCUCUCUGGGACGGUACUGACGCUGAGACGCGAAAGCGUGGGGAGCGAACAGG
rnacentral:rRNA from 1 species